rnacentral:rRNA from 1 species
UACGUAGGGUGCGAGCGUUAAUCGGAAUUAUUGGGCGUAAAGCGUGCGCAGGCGGUUCGUUGUGUCGGCGGUGAAAUCCCCGGGCUCAACCUGGGAAUGGCCGUUGAAACUGGCGAACUGGAGUGUGGCAGAGGGGGGGUGGAAUUCCGCGUGUAGCAGUGAAAUGCGUAGAGAUGCGGAGGAACACCGAUGGCGAAGGCAGCCCCCCUGGGCUAACACUGACGCUCAGGCACGAAAGCGUGGGUAGUCAAACAGGA